AUGCAGUGUAAGAUUGGGCUGCAGUUAUAUGUCGGGGGUUGGUGUUACUGUAACCGUGCAAGGGGGUUGGAGAAUGCAGGUAGCUGGCAGUGCCUGUUAAAGUUGCGACACCUAGGAUCUCACAAAUGUACCCCUCAUCUUUCGCUCAAUUGGAUUGGUGGAUCGCCUGAUACCUUUGACAUGGGUUCCUGUUUGCCACAAGUGCAGGUCUUUUUUGUUCUGAAGCAUUUGAUGUGUACCCCUUUUGUUGUUUUCUUGCAUGAAUCGUCUGUGCUUCUUGGUACUAACAGUGCAAGGAAACUUGGUAUAUUUUCUCCGGUUGUGUAA
rnacentral:rRNA from 1 species